rnacentral:rRNA from 1 species
GACGGGACCCGCACAAGCGGUGAUGAUGUGGUUUAAUUCGAUGCAACGCGAAAACCUUACCACCUUUGACAUGCUAGGAACUUGCCAGAGAUGGCUUGGUGCCCGAAAGGGAACCUAGACACAGGUGCUGCAUGGCUGUCGUCAGCUCGUGUCGUGAGAUGUUGGGUUAAGUCCCGCAACGAGCGCAACCCUUGUCAUUAAUUGCCAUCAUUCAGUUGGGCACUUUAAUGAGACUGCCGGUGACAAACCGGAGGAAGGUGGGGAUGACGUCAAGUCCUCAUGGCCCUUAUGGGUAGGGCUUCACACGUAAUACAAUGGUCGGUACAGAGGGUUGCCAACCCGCGAGGGGGAGCCAAUCCCAGAAAACCGAUCGUAGUCCGGAUUGCAGUCUGCAACUCGACUGCAUGAAGUCGGAAUCGCUAGUAAUCGCGGAUCAGCAUGUCGCGGUGAAUACGUUCCCGGGCCUU